GGCUUACGCCGGCCCUUAGGAAUCAUCCUUGCCAUGUCGAGCGGAUGAAGGGAGCUUGCUCCUGGAUUCAGCGGCGGACGGGUGAGUAAUGCCUAGGAAUCUGCCUGGUAGUGGGGGAUAACGUCCGGAAACGGGCGCUAAUACCGCAUACGUCCUGAGGGAGAAAGUGGGGGAUCUUCGGACCUCACGCUAUCAGAUGAGCCUAGGUCGGAUUAGCUAGUUGGUGGGGUAAAGGCCUACCAAGGCGACGAUCCGUAACUGGUCUGAGAGGAUGAUCAGUCACACUGGAACUGAGACACGGUCCAGACUCCUACGGGAGGCAGCAGUGGGGAAUAUUGGACAAUGGGCGAAAGCCUGAUCCAGCCAUGCCGCGUGUGUGAAGAAGGUCUUCGGAUUGUAAAGCACUUUAAGUUGGGAGGAAGGGCAGUAAGUUAAUACCUUGCUGUUUUGACGUUACCAACAGAAUAAGCACCGGCUAACUUCGUGCCAGCAGCCGCGGUAAUACGAAGGGUGCAAGCGUUAAUCGGAAUUACUGGGCGUAAAGCGCGCGUAGGUGGUUCUGCAAGUGUGGAUGUGAAAUCCCCGGGCUCAUCCUGGGGAGCUGCAUCCAAAACUACUGAGCUAGAGUACGGUAGAGGGUGGUGGUAAUUUCCUGUGUAGCGGUGAUAUGUGUAGAUAUAGGAAGGAACACCAGUGGCGAAGGCGACCCCCUGGACUGAUACUGACACUGAAGGUGCGAAAGCGUGGGGUGCAAACAGGAUAGAUACCCCCUGGUUAGUCCA
rnacentral:rRNA from 1 species